CCUACUCUUGAUUACUUGUUUC
rnacentral:ncRNA from 2 species